UACGGGGGGAGCAAGCGUUGUUCGGAUUUACUGGGCGUAAAGGGCGCGUAGGCGGCCAGCACAAGUCAGUUGUGAAAUCUCCGAGCUUAACUCGGAAAGGUCAACUGAUACUGUGCGGCUAGAGUGCGGAAGGGGCAACUGGAAUUCUCGGUGUAGCGGUGAAAUGCGUAGAUAUCGAGAGGAACACCUGCGGCGAAGGCGGGUUGCUGGGCCGAACACUGACGCUGAUGCGCGAAAGCCAGGGGAGCGAAACG
rnacentral:rRNA from 1 species